rnacentral:misc_RNA from 1 species
CGUCUCCUAUACUUUUCCCCCUUCCCCUGGUCAGCAAAGUCUAUAAAAAAUGCAGAAAUUUAAAUACCCCUUCUCAAACUUCAAAUUUGUAGUGAAGUUGGUACCAUAAGUGGAACAGUAACCCAGCUACUCCCCACCUCCUUAAUCAGCCGACUAUCCCUCAUUUGGCUUCUCAAGCUGUCUACAAAAUCCCACAUUCCAAGUGAUGCAUAAAAAUUGGAUAGCAUUAUAUAAUUC